rnacentral:rRNA from 1 species
UUUCCCUCAGGAUAGGUGGAGCUCGCGUGCCUGUUCUAUCAGGUAAAGCCAAUGAUUAGAGGCCUUGGGUGCGCAAUGCCCUCGGCAUAUUCUCAAACUUUGAAUAGGUAGGACGGCACGAUUGCUUUGUUGAGCCGCGCAACGGAAUCAAGNNNNN